rnacentral:rRNA from 1 species
CCCUUAGAUGUUCUGGGCUGCACGCGCGCUACACUGUCGGAUUCAGCGAGUCAUAUCCUUAACCGAAAGGUUUGGGUAAUCUUUUGAAAGUCCGACGUGAUGGGGAUUGAUCAUUGCAAUUAUUGAUCAUGAACGAGGAAUUCCUAGUAAGCGCGAGUCAUCAGCUCGCGUUGAUUACGUCCCUGCCCUUUGUACACACCGCCCGUCGCUACUACCGAUUGGAUGUUUAAGCGAGGUUCUCGAACUGCUAGUGACUGAUCUUCGGUGAGGUCGCAGUGUGGGAAGUGAACCUAGCUUUGGUGUCUAGAGGAAGUAAAAGUCGUAACA